GAGCUCCUCCCUGGGUGGAGAUUUCAGUAUGCUAACAAGGGUAGUUCUUCAAAGUUCAUCUCCAACUCAGGCAUCUCUGGGUCAAACUCAUUUUUGUUUUCCAGGGCUGAGAUUCUUCCUGGAACUUUUUGAAACAGCAACACUGGGUGCGGUCUUUACCAGUGGGAGCUUGUUCACAGUGCAUGCACAGAAACCUGUAGACCAUGGGUUAGGCUCUUGCAAGACUUCCCUGAAAGAUCGGACCUGGUCACUGACAAGAUUUGUCUGCAUUUCCCCUUGACGAGAAAGUCCACUGUAUGAUGAAGCUGGUUCUCCAAGGCAGACUAGAUAUAGAAUGGUUCCUGGAAGAGAGAGCUUGGGAGCCACAGCUUGAAAGAUACUUCAGAGAUCUCAUUGUGAUUGCCUUCCGGCCAUCUAUUCUCCCUUCUGCUGCUGCCAGCAUCUCAAUUUGCCUUGAAGAAUCAUCCUCCUGUUGGUCUCAGACAACGUGGGUCUGGUGCCCAGCUCCUUCCUGUACACACCAGCUUGAGCAGUUGACAGCUGACUCAAGACAACAGCUGUGCCAUUCCCCUGACCCUUGUGGCUGGUUCUGGAGCGUGCAUGUUAAAUAGUGUCCCAAGGAAGUCAUAAAUAAAUGAAUAUUCACAUUCUCCCUCCGGGAACCUGAAGCUACUGAAAUGCAACAAGAACAAUUUCAUCGACACAACUGGAAGAUUGUCGUUGGGGUUCCAGGCAUAAGCAACAUAUACAAAAUUUACGCAUUUUAUAUACAUAAUGCCUUAUCUUUAACAUGCAUUACCUUUAAAAAUUGCUUUAUUUUCUCUGGUGAUAUUAAUGUUUUCAUACUUAUUAUCAAGUCUUUCUUUUAAACAACAGG
rnacentral:lncRNA from 1 species